GGUUUGUGGCUCAACUGUAGAGCGCUUGCCUAGCACAUGUGAGGCCCUGGGUUCGAUCCUCAGCACCA
rnacentral:tRNA from 1 species